rnacentral:rRNA from 1 species
GGGCAGCGGUGGUGAAGGCUUGCCUUUACCAGCCGGCGACCGGCGCACGGGUGAGUAACACGUAUGCAACCUGCCUGCCACAGCCGGAUAAUCGGGAGAAAUUCCGUCUAAUACGGCAUAAUGCACCUAUGGGACAUCCUGUUGGUGCCAAAGGUUGAUUCCGGUGGCGGAUGGGCAUGCGUCGCAUUAGUUAGUUGGCGGUGUAACGGACCACCAAGACGACGACGCGUAGGGGUUCUGAGAGGAAGGUCCCCCACACUGGUACUGAGACACGGACCAGACUCCUACGGGAGGCAGCAGUGAGGAAUAUUGGUCAAUGGGCGGGAGCCUGAACCAGCCAAGUCGCGUGAGGGAUGACGGCCCUAUGGGUUGUAAACCUCUUUUGCCGGGGAGCAAAGUGCCGCACGUGUGCGGUUUGGAGAGUACCCGGAGAAAAAGCAUCGGCUAACUCCGUGCCAGCAGCCGCGGUAAUAUGGAGGAUGCGAGCGUUAUCCGGAUUUAUUGGGUUUAAAGGGUGCGUAGGCGGACGCUUAAGUCAGCGGUAAAAUUGCGGGGCUCAACCUCGUCAAGCCGUUGCAACUGGGUGCCUUGAGUGGGCGAGAAGUACGCGGAAUGCGUGGUGUAGCGGUGAAAUGCAUAGAUAUCAAGAGGAACUCCGAUUGGGAAGGCAGCUUACCGGGGCCCAAUUGACGUUGAAGCACGAAGGCGUGGGUAUCGAACAGGAUUAGAUACCCUGGUAGUCCACGCAGUAAACGAUGAAUGCUAGUUGUCCGGGGCGAUUGAGUUCUGGGUGACACAGCGAAAGCGUUAAGCAUUCCACCUGGGGAGUACGCCGGCAACGGUGAAACUCAAAGGAAUUGACGGGGGCCCGCACAAGCGGAGGAACAUGUGGUUUAAUUCGAUGAUACGCGAGGAACCUUACCCGGGCUCAAACGCAGGAGGGAUGUUUUUGAAAGGAGGCAGCCAGCAAUGGUCUCCUGCGAGGUGCUGCAUGGUUGUCGUCAGCUCGUGCCGUGAGGUGUCGGCUUAAGCGCCAUAACGAGCGCAACCCCUACCUACAGUUGCCAUCGCGUGAUGGCGGGCACUCUGUGGGGACUGCCUGCGCAAGCAGUGAGGAAGGCGGGGAUGACGUCAAAUCAGCACGGCCCUUACGUCCGGGGCGACACACGUGUUACAAUGGCAGGUACAGCGGGAAGCCACCCGGCGACGGGGCGCGGAACCCGAAAACCUGUCUCAGUUCGGAUUGGAGUCUGCAACCCGACUCCAUGAAGCUGGAUUCGCUAGUAAUCGC